rnacentral:rRNA from 1 species
GAGUCUAGCAUGUGCGCGAGUCAUUGGGACUUGCUAAACCUAAAGGCGUAAUGAAAGUGAAGGGCCGCCUCGCGCGGCCCGAGGGAGGAUGGGCGGCGUCACGAUGCCGCCCCGCACUCCCGGGGCGUCUCGUUCUCAUUGCGAGAAGAGGCGCACCCAGAGCGUACACGCUGGGACCCGAAAGAUGGUGAACUAUGCCUGGUCAGGACGAAGUCAGGGGAAACCCUGAUGGAGGUCCGUAGCGAUUCUGACGUGCAAAUCGAUCGUCGGAACUGGGUAUAGGGGCGAAAGACUAAUCGAACCAUCUAGUAGCUGGUUCCCUCCGAAGUUUCCCUCAGGAUAGCUGGCGCUCGCUUUGCGAGUCUCAUCCGGUAAAGCGAAUGAUUAGAGGCAUUGGGGUCGAAACGGCCUCAACCUAUUCUCAAACUUUAAAUGGGUGAGAUCUCCGGCUUGCUCGAACUUGAAGCCGCGAGAUAAUUUUCAAAAAGGAUCAGAGUGCCAAGUGGGCCACUUUUGGUAAGCAGAACUGGCGCUGUGGGAUGAACCAAACGCAGAGUUAAAGCGCCUAAAUCGACGCUUAUGGGAUACCAUGAAAGGCGUUGGUAACUUAAGACAGCAGGACGGUGGCCAUGGAAGUCGGA